UGUUCACAGUCGCCCGGCGCUGAGCCGCGCUCCGUAAAGGAAAACACUGUCAGAGCCCGCAAAGCCGGCUGUUGUCAAGACGUCACAUGACAGUCGCAGGCAGCCUUUCCUGCCGGGGGGAAACGCGUACGUUAAGAUUGGCACAACCCAAAGGCGUGGAAGCCCACUGAACUGUCCUGGGACUUGGGAACACCGCCGUGGGGAGUGAUGUCACAGCCUCACUGGGUGAUGCCUGUCAGACCUGCACAUGCACGUCCCCAAACGCCUAGGCUGGUGGGGAAUGUAAGCACAGCAUCAUGUAAAUGUCACGAUCCUGGACAUGGUGCGUUGGCAACAUGGUGGAAAAGGAGCGCAGGUGGUGAAACUGCAAUCAGGCUCACCCUUGCCUCCCAGAGACAGAUGCCCCGCCCCCUCUCUUGCCCUCCCUGCUUCCCGAUCCUCCCAGGAAUCUGGGCCUGAAAGCUUUGCUGCUCCCGGUGCUGCAGAAAGCUCGGCAGGGCUUCGGAAACACCGAGAUCCUGGUGGACAAUCAGGAGCUUCCAGGAUGGACACCAGGCUGCAGGGCUGCAGGUGCCCCCCGGUCCUGGGAGACGCCGCAGGACAGGUGCUCGGUGCUCACCUGGGAGGGAGCGGGAGCCAAGUAGUCUGCACCCCCGCCGACCCCACGUACCCAUGCAUC